UACGGAGGAUCCAAGCGUUAUCCGGAAUCAUUGGGUUUAAAGGGUCCGUAGGCGGUUUAGUAAGUCAGUGGUGAAAGCCCAUCGCUCAACGGUGGAACGGCCAUUGAUACUGCUAGACUUGAAUUAUUAGGAAGUAACUAGAAUAUGUAGUGUAGCGGUGAAAUGCUUAGAGAUUACAUGGAAUACCAAUUGCGAAGGCAGGUUACUACUAAUGGAUUGACGCUGAUGGACGAAAGCGUGGGUAGCGAACAGGAUUAGAUACCCUGGUAGUCCACGCCGUAAACGAUGGAUACUAGCUGUUCGGAGCAAUCUGAGUGGCUAAGCGAAAGUGAUAAGUAUCCCACCUGGGGAGUACGUUCGCAAGAAUGAAAUUCAAAGGAAUUGACGGGGGCCCGCACAAGCGGUGGAGCAUGUGGUUUAAUUCGAUGAUACGCGAGGAACCUUACCAAGGCUUAAAUGUAGAUUGACCGUUUUGGAAACAGAACUUUCGCAAGACAAUUUACAAGGUGCUGCAUGGUUGUCGUCAGCUCGUGCCGUGAGGUGUCAGGUUAAGUCCUAUAACGAGCGCAACCCCUGUUGUUAGUUGCCAGCGAGUCAUGUCGGGAACUCUAACGAGACUGCCAGUGCAAACUGAGAGGAAGGUG
rnacentral:rRNA from 1 species